rnacentral:rRNA from 1 species
UGACGGUACCUGACUAAGAAGCCCCGGCUAACUACGUGCCAGCAGCCGCGGUAAUACGUAGGGGGCAAGCGUUAUCCGGAUUUACUGGGUGUAAAGGGAGCGUAGACGGUCUUGCAAGUCUGAUGUGAAAGGCAGGGGCUCAACUCCUGGACUGCAUUGGAAACUGUAAGUCUUGAGUGUCGGAGAGGUAAGCGGAAUUCCUAGUGUAGCGGUGAAAUGCGUAGAUAUUAGGAAGAACACCAGUGGCGAAGGCGAUCUACUGGACAGUAACUGACGCUGAGGCGCGAAAGCGUGGGGAGCAAACAGGAUUAGAUACCCUG